AUCUAGCUGAUGAGUCUCAAAUAAGGCUAAAUGCGCGUCCUAGAU
rnacentral:hammerhead_ribozyme from 1 species